CGCGUGAACAAUAAUCUGGGAAGAGGCUUGUUCUUACCGGAACAGUCUGUUGGGGUUCUGGAGGUGGGCUAACAUUCAGCCAAUGAAAAUAAAGCCCAGUGAGUUAGAAGAUGAUUUGAUGUCUCAUAUAUUCCAGUCAGCAUACAGUUCCUAAAAACAUGCUGCAGACAAGUUGCUUGAACAGCACCUAAAACUACAUUCUGGCAACUUUUUGACCACCUUUAUUCAAAAGAGGCUGAUUUGUACUGAUAUGCUGCAUCCUCAUUGCUGAUAUGUAGUUAAAAAAACACAAACACACACUUUUCCUUUUUUGGACUUUACUUUUUUUUGCCUUGCAUACUGGCAACAAACCAUGAUGAGUUUUUCUUGGAGAGGAGCGCAAGGAUGAAAUGUUGUAUUAUUACCGCUCCAAAUUUUAGCAUCAAGUGCCAGAAUAAAGGCAACAGCCAUGCAGUUAAUGGAUUAUAGAUCAGCAGUACAAUUGAAUUAUUAUCUGAAAAAGAGCUGAAAAAAAUGCUUUUGAUUUUGGGAAACAUCUGUGGCCAGAAUUUCCGGAGUGAAAGAGUUAACAUUAACCAGCUGGAGCAUCAGGAUAUAAAUCUAGUGCUUCUAAAGGAGGGAAGGAGCCCCCCUUCCACACACUCACACAUGCACCCCUCCCUUCCCCCUCUGAGAUCAGGAGUGUCGUCCUGUCCACGUGUCGGCGCCUGUGGGAAAGCACUGUUGUAUACAACCAAAUGGAGACGGCACAUAACAGCCCACUUUAAACAAAGCAGUAUCAAACCGAAGCCAUGGUUUCGGUUUGAUACUGAAAGUACCCACGGAGAGUCAGUUCAAGUUUUGGAUGACUCACGGUGACGGUGGACGCUCACAGUUAAGGCCACAAAAGGAGUCUCCACAUUUAAACCUUUAAAUUUGACCACAUUUACAGGCCCCUCGUUAUUCACUGACCGCAGUUUAAAGAUCUUGUGUUUUGUGAAUGAGUUCAUUGUGAGUUUAUUUCAUAAACAUUACAUCGAUUGUGCAAACAAUGAACCCAUUUAAUCACAGGUAGCGAGACUGGAAAUUUACUGGUGUUGGUGCAACAAGGGCGAGGUUGUUGUUUUGGGUUGUUUUUUUUGUUUGCUACAAGGGGCGAAAAGAAAACCCAGACACAUAGUACAUAUACAGUCAGACCAUACCCUGGAGUGCCAACUGUGUGAUAUUUUUUCUGGCAAGUCGACCAAAGAGACGUUUCCUGUAUGCCUGCAUGCACUCUCCCACCCUUUUGCAAGCAACCAAGUUAUAAAGAGUUACUCUGCCUCUCCUUGGAAGCAUAGCACCCUGUUACAAACUGCAGCCGUGGACUGAUGUCACAGAAAAACUUUAUUGAUCUAACAAUGAGGCCAAAAAUGGAUAACAAUGACAUGACUAUGUCUUAUGGUUGUAAUUAAAUCACUGG
ensembl:lncRNA